CGCUACAGCAUGUCAACCAGCUUUCACAACUCUUUAGGGAAAGUAGCUAAAGCAUGCUCAAUUUGUCACCAGAUGACACCAUAGAUUACAUUUUUUCUAAUUACUUAUGAUAUGGCAAUGAAUAUUACUAACUAGUUUUAAAAAAGAAAGAAAGGCAGAUAGGGUGCCGAUACUUGUAGAGUUGCAUAGAUAUAUCAUGAACAUGCACAUUUUUUAAACGUGUCUACAAAUGAAGAAGGCAGGCAAAAAGAAGUCGUGAAAGGUGAGUAGUCUGAAGGAAAUGGUUACUCGUUUGUAAGUAUCAACAAGAAAAGUGUUUAAAAUGAAGAACUAUGGGACAGUAAAGUUAUUAAAACAUAACUUUCUCAGAUUUACUAAGUAGAUAACACUAGUUGGUCAUUACUACACCCCAUAACGUUAGAUAAGUGUGUCCGAGUUUAGUAUUUAUGCAGACCUUUUAUUUAUUUUUUAUUCCUCCACCACUAAGUCUGUCCAUCCAUCUGAGGUUCUCAUUAAUGCAAUAUCUCAACCAGUGGUUGAAUGUUUGUAGGAAUUCUAUAGACUAUAUUGUUGUUGUAACCAGCAGAUGACUCAAUUAGUAUUUGGAAUUGAUCCAAAAAUAUAAGAGGUCACAGCAGUUUCAUGUUUAGGAACUCAAGGCCCUUUAUUGUUUUUUUUUGGCUAGCUACGGUUUUGCCAUCAUUCCAUGCUUCUGUGUGUCCUUGCUUUUGCAUGAGAUUCUUGUUUAGUGUGACAUCUCAAGAACGAAAGGUUGAAUGUUUUAUAGUGUAGCAGCAGCGGCAGGUGGAACACAGAGUGAGACUGGUUAAGAGAGCUUUUAUUUUGUAGAAUGGGAGUGCAGAAGGGUCAUGGGACACUCUGUCCUGGGGCAGCAGUCUGUGAGGGAGGUGUUAGAGAGGAGUGUGGUCGCUAUGGGCCAGGCAGAGUGGUGUAGGUCGGUAGCAGAGUGCGGAGGAAGCGUAGGUAGUGGGGGGGAGAGAAUUGCUGUCAUCAUCGUCAUCUGCAAGACAUAGAACCGAAUUGAUCAGCGUAGACAAAAGCUGCUCAAGCUGCUGAGGUUGUGAUGCCCUUUUAUCCUCUCCAGUCUUCUCUGAGAGGGUGAGGAGUUGCAGUGUUUAUCUGCCGCAAUUUGUGCUCUAUUUCCCCACCUCAUGCUCUGCUGCAGUCGACAACAGUGAUGCUGAAAUGACUGUCUGUUCAGCACCCAGGUGGCAGUAGUGUGAGGAGCAUUUUUCACCUCUUCAACAGGUUCACGUGGAACCUGUACGUUUCUGCUCGCUUAUCGGCUGCUGCAGAUGUUAUCGUCAGCUGCUGGAGGCUGGCCUCCAUUAGUUGCUGCAGCAUGGAAUCCAUGUUUUUAUUUUUAAAUUUUUUAUUAUUAUUAUAUAUUUUUUCCUUUAUUUUUUUAUUUGGCCGCGUCUGUGCUCAUUCCCGUAUCCUUCACCAGACUUACAAAUGAGAAAAUACAAGCAAAGCAAUAUAUCAAGCAGAGAACACUGCAAGUAGUGCUACAAUAGAAGAUUUUUAAUUGAGUUCUAGAAGAUGCAAAAAUGUAAUCAGCCCUGAGAUUCUAACCAGCGACCUUGGCGUUCUUACCACCACACACUAACUAACUGAGCUACAUUGCCAUAUAUAUAAUAUAUCAUAAUAGUUUCGAAGAGAAUUUUUAAGCGAAUAUUUUUAAGUGUCCAAAAUUAUAUGGACGGCGCUCCGUGCAGCGGGGAAAGCACUCAGACAUAGCCCGGGGAGGGAGCGUCAUGUCGCACAGACUCUGGCCAGCUCCAGGCCGAUCAUCGCUGAUUUUUUUCCCUGGGCGUUGAAGAGUUAUCAUUGAUGAAAUUGUUACUUUACAUUUAUUUGGUAAAAAGCUUAGACUUUUUUGGAACAUUCGGCCGUUACAUCGGGUGAUGAACAGUUCCCAGAUAGCAAGCACAUUUGGGCCGAUUCUGGUAGAAAUGCGCCACUGUCGGCUCAAUUCAGCUAAAAUUAAGGAGCUCAGCCGCCUGGAAAACACUUUUGACGGUUAAAUCAGUUAGGAUACUCGAGGCUGCAGUCAUUCUUCGUUUUCAAGAGGAAUCAUUUCAGCUGAAGAAGCCAUGCUGAGGGAGGUGUUAACUAAAUUAGAGAUGGUGCUGGACCAACAAACCACUGAGAUUGCUUCAACUACAGGAGGUCCAGGUGCAGCCUUUGGAUAUUGAUGAAGAUUUACUGCCCCUGCAAGACCUUCCUCAACUGUGUAGUCUGGAGCGAAGGAUGCAACAGAGCCCAGAUUACAAGCAAAAUCUGUUUCAGGUAAACUGGUUGGAGCUUAUUGACAGGGCGGAUGUGCUCAACUGCACCUGGUGCAUAUUGGUGAUUACUAACUCCCUGGAAAAGAACCUCAAUUGGAGGGGAAUCAAUAGAAAGACUUCACUGUCCGCUCUCCAACUCGGAGAGGUCGUGAUUGUUCAUAGAAACCUCUUUACGGCUAAUGCUGCAGAGAUGGAGGUCGAGAGGACCAUGAAGAGGUGGCUCCAGCUGGCAUCAGAUCAAGAGUGUGGGUGCAAGAGAAGUCUUUUGCAAAAGGAAGCUGGGUGGGUACACAGUUGCGGUCGGAAGUUUACAUACCCCUUGCUGAAUCUACAAAAUAUUAAUGCUCUUAACAAAAUAAGAUUGAUCCUGUGCAAUCGUUGGGAACUACAUUGUGCGAAAUGUCCGCGUCGCUUCAACAAAGGGUAAGGUGCACACACAAUUUUUCUUUUGCUUGUGUCCUUGAUGUCGCUGAGCAGCUACCAGGAAUCCUGAAGAAGGACGAGUGCAUUGGAGCAGUCGUGCCGCAUGCGGGGGCAAACAUCAGGCUUCGGCAGACAGAGGUUCUGAAGAGGGCCAGCCUGAUCGAGACGGUAUGAGGCAGAUCACCCACCGCGAAGAUCAUCGUCUCUGGACCUCUUCCCUCAUACAGAUGUGGAGCUGAAAAGUUCAGUAGACUUCUAGCAUUAAAUGAUUGGUUAGUUUCUUGGUGUAAUUAACAGGAAUCUGCUGUUUGUUAAUAACUGGAAUCUGUUCUGGGAGCGUCCUAGGUUGUUUCGUCCUGAUGGCCUGCACUCCAGCAGCUUCGGAGCGGAACUGCUGUCAGACAACAUCUCCAAGACACUACAAACCAAGUGACUGCCUACCGUCAAAUUAUUCGUAAACAUGGAAUGAACUUCCACUGUUAUGCUGAUGAUACAGAGCUGUAUGUUUGCAACUGAACAAUAACAACAAUAAACAACAACUGAAGAAUAGCGAAAAACUCCAACUGUUUUCGUGCUUACUUGAAGACGAUGAGGCGGAGCAGCAUCGGAGAGACAGUUCGCUCCAUUCUCCAAAGAAUCGGGGAGAACAGUCUGUGGUGUAUGUUUUCGUUGAAAGCGCCAAAAGGUGGGAAGCUGGCUUUGACUGAUCAGGAUGAAGUGUAUGGCCUUGUACACUAUAUUGCCGAACAAGCACAUGGACGUGAAUAUACUGUUGCCGGUUGCAGAGAGGCCAUCGGCAGCUACCUAAAAAAUGCCCCAGGCAGGAAAAGUGUCAAGAAACACAUUAUGAGUGUUUAUGAUGAAGGUUAGAAUUUAAAUCUACAACUUCUGUGGUUCUUUUUCUUUUCUCAUUCAUACAAAUGUGCCAUUGUGUAACACUGUUGACUGACUCAUUAGUUUUUAUAUCCCUUUGAAAAGCAAAAACCUUUCCACUAUGCAUAUAACUGAAAGUGCAUACAUGCUCCAAACCUUUUGUGAAUACUGAUGAUUGAUUUGGAGGUUUCAAAUUAUGAGUGAAUUGUGGUUCACUUUCUUGCGAUCAGGAAUGUGUAGCUAAUGUCUGUAGUUUACUGAUUCCGAAAUUGUUGGUUCAGACUGCAUCAUAUAGUACUAGUAUAUAACAAUGAAAUGAAAUGCCAUAUAUUCAGAUAUAUCCACUGUCUGUUCACAGCAGAGCUACAUGGGAUCUCUAGUGCGUCCUGCAAGAAUUGGGCCUUAGUCCAGUUCAGAUUCAAUUUUGUAAUUCCUCUCCCUCGCGUGACAGCCUCCAAACAGUACAAUUCUAAUGAGCUUGAAUAUACGGAGAAUUCCAUUGGGUUUGAUGUCUGACUAAUAAUUUUUUUUCUUUGAUUAGCAAUACAUAGGAACUAUAUCUGGCUAUUUUGUGUGUUACAAUAUUGAAUGUCAUUUUUCAGCUUUUAACUUCGUCUGCAUUUACUAAAAUUCAUGCAUGUUUAUUAAAAAUAUUCAUGGAGUUUGUUAAACUAUAUAAUUGUUGUCUGUCAUUCAUAAGAUUCGUCAUGCGAAUUCCAUAGACCAGAAUCUAACAUCCACAUUAUUGAAGCUUGUUUAAUUACGGGUUUGUUAAAGCAUGCGGUAUGUUAUAUGCUUUAAUUGUAUCUUGCCACAUAAUGUUGGAAAAUGAGUACUUGUGUACUUUUCAAGAAAUUAGAUACAAAAAGGAUUACACAUAUCUGAUUAGAAAAAAUAGCAUCAUAAUGUGUGUAACUUUGUGUAUAAAUAUUGUGUAGUGUAUUUACACCACAUUAUGAGGUGUAUAUACAGGCAAUUACAAAAUACUAUGUGCAUGUUGUUGAGUCUUUCUGGAAUUCUAUAUCCCUGUUUUAUAAAGCACUGAAUGGUUUGGGUCCAAUAUAUAUUUCUGAUCUACUGGUACAUUAUGAACCAUCCAGACCUCUGAGGUCAUCUGGAACAGGUCUGCUUUCUGUUCUCAGAGUCAAAACUAAAUGUGGAGAAGCAGCAUUUAGUUUUUAUUCUCCACAUAUCUGGAACAAACUCCCAGAAAACUGCAGAUCUGCCAAAACUGUCAGUUCUUUUAAAUCAAGACUGAAGAAUUUUCUUUUUGCUGCUGCUUUUAAAUCAAUCAUCAAGGUAUUUUAAUUAAUAUCUUAUGCUGCACUGUAACCUUUUUAAUCUUUUUUUAAAUUUUAUAUAAUGUGUAUGAACUCUUUUUAAUGUGUUCUUUUUAAAUGUUGCUUUGUGUUGCUUUUAUGUAAAGCACUUUGAAUUACCCUGUUGCUGAAAAUGUGCUAUACAAAUAAAUUUGCCUUGCCUUUGUGGAUCUUCUCCAGUGAAAUAGAUGAGGCCACCUACGGAACGCAUUAAUUUACAUAGGAGCAGCGAUGAGGAGAAUAGAAAUGUAUUUCUAAUGUUAGUUGAAAUUUCAAAGAUUAAGAUUUCUUACCCAGAAUACCGCUUCUGGGGAAAUUGCCGUUCCCGAGGGUGGACACACGAGGGCAGUCAAGCUCCAUCCAGCACAAGACACAACGCCGCCUGGAACAGAAGGAAGAUUUGGGCUACUGUACACAAACAGCUCAUCGGCGUUAUUACUGUGCAUUGUCUAGUUUUCACAUAAGGACAAUACACGGCUCUUCUGCACUGUUCAUCAUCUAAAAAACAAAAAUUAUGUAAUAUACAUAGCAGUAUAUUCAUCAUAAUAAAGUUCACUCAUUAAUAACGAAUAAUAAACAUUUCUAUAACCCCCCCCCCCAUGUUGAUAGAAAUAUAAAGCAUAUAUAUAUAUAUAUAUAUGAAAGGAAAUUCUCUUAUAUCAUGUACUCUCUUAUAUUAUGAACUGCUAUCAAAUACCUAUAAUGAAUAAUUUAAUUACCUCUUUGAAUAAACUGAUAACUUGCCAUCUUUAUUAUAGUAGACUUAUUUUGUAGUAUGACCCUGGGUGCUGUGUGUUUUGUCUAAAUCUGUCUGGCCCCUGCACCAGUAGAAACUGUCCACGCACUGCUUCUUAUCAAUGUGUAUAAAUACUCUUGGUUUGCAUGAAUAAACUCGGACGUCUCCGUGA